UGGGGAAUAUUGGGCAAUGGGGGAAACCCUGACCCAGCAACGCCGCGUGAAGGAAGAAGGCUUUCGGGUUGUAAACUUCUUUUACCAGGGACGAAGGACGUGACGGUACCUGGAGAAAAAGCCACGGCUAACUACGUGCCAGCAGCCGCGGUAAUACGUAGGUGGCAAGCGUUGUCCGGAUUUACUGGGUGUAAAGGGCGUGUAGGCGGGAGAGCAAGUCAGAAGUGAAAUCCAUGGGCUUAACCCAUGAACUGCUUUUGAAACUGUUCUUCUUGAGUAUCGGAGAGGCAGGCGGAAUUCCUAGUGUAGCGGUGAAAUGCGUAGAUAUUAGGAGGAACACCAGUGGCGAAGGCGGCCUGCUGGACGACAACUGACGCUGAGGCGCGAAAGCGUGGGGAGCAAACAGG
rnacentral:rRNA from 1 species